UCGAUCCUGCCAGUAGCAUACGCUUGCUCAAAGAUUAAGCCAAUGCAAUGUCUAAGUAUAAAUGAGUUUAUACAUGAAACUGCGAAUGGCUCAUUAUAUCAGUUAUAGUUUCUUUGAUGGUCCUUACUACUUGGAUAACCGUAGUAAUUCUAGAGCUAAUACAUGCGUCAAACCCUGACUUCUGGAAAGGGUGUAGUUUAUUAGAUGGGAAACCAAUGCGGGGCAACCCGGGUAUAUGGUGAUUCAUAAUAACUUUCGGAUCGACUUCGGUCGAUGCAUCAUUCAAGUUUCUGCCCUAUCAGCUUUGGAUGGUAGGGUAUUGGCCUACCAUGGCUUUAACGGGUAACGGAGAAUUAGGGUUCGAUUCCGGAGAGGGAGCCUGAGAAACGGCUACCACAUCCAAGGAAGGCAGCAGGCGCGUAAAUUACCCAAUCCUGACAUAGGGAGGUAGUGACAAUAAAUAACAAUGCCGGGCUUUUCAAAGUCUGGCAAUUGGAAUGAGAACAAUUUAAAUCCCUUAUCGAGGAUCAAUUGGAGGGCAAGUC
rnacentral:rRNA from 1 species